ACCGACCGUCCGACCCCCGCCCCACGAUUUUAUCCGUUCGUCGCUCGUCUGUCUCUCCAGCGAAGCCACCAUCUCCCUCCCCGUCCCACGUUCGCCACGUGCGCGCCACCUCCCCCACCGCGUCCGCGUCGUCGGCCAUACUCCUCCGUCGCGAACGAGAUCACGGGCCCCAGUCCCCCAGCCUCAUCUUCCCCCGUUGAGGGAGCGGAUCGUGCGAGGCGGCGGGCGCGGGUUGGUUUCGCGGGCCGACCAUGGGGACGCUCAUCCGGCCGGGGCCCGCCGCGUCGCCUCUCCCCAUCGCUUCCUCCUCCUCGUCCGGCCACGUGGCGGCCGUUGGCGGCGGCGAAGGGGCGAGGAGCUUGCGGCAUCGGGUGUCGGUGGCGGUGUUCCGGUCCCCGAGUACGCAUGUUCUGGCGACGAGAUGGCGCCGGCGGAGAGGUACGGUUGUGCGGUCGGAUGCCAUCGCCGGCGCCGCGGCAGCUGGGGAUUCGACGCCGGCACUGUCAGGCCUGCAAUUGGCUCCCAGAGUCAGAGGGGUUUGCUUCUAUUUGGUGACUGCAGUUGCAGCAAUCUUUUUGUUUGUAGCUAUGGUUGUGGUUCAUCCACUCGUGCUACUAUUUGACCGGUACCGUAGGAGAGUGCAGCACUACAUCGCGAAGAUUUGGGCUACGUUGACAAUUUCCAUGUUCUACAAGCUUGAGGUUGAGGGAAUGGAAAAUCUACCUCCAAAUAAUAGUCCUGGUGUCUAUGUUGCUAACCAUCAGAGCUUCUUGGAUAUUUAUACCCUUCUUACUCUAGGGAGGUGCUUCAAAUUUAUAAGCAAGACCAGUAUCUUUAUGUUCCCUAUUAUAGGGUGGGCUAUGUAUCUCUUGGGUGUGAUUCCUCUGCGGCGUAUGGACAGCAGGAGCCAGCUGGAUUGUCUCAAACGGUGCGUGGACUUGGUGGGAAAAGGAGCUUCUGUAUUUUUCUUUCCAGAGGGUACUCGAAGUAGAGAUGGCAAGUUAGGUGUAUUUAAGCGUGGUGCAUUCAGUGUCGCCGCAAAGACCGGAGCUCCUGUGAUACCUAUUACUCUUAUCGGAACUGGGAAAUUGAUGCCUUCUGGAAUGGAAGGAAUUCUCAAUUCAGGUUCAGUAAAGGUGAUUAUUCACCGACCUAUUCAAGGAAAUGAUGCAGAAACAUUAUGUUCCAAAGCAAGGAAUGUGAUAGCAGAUACUCUUGUUCUACAUGGUUAUGGAGUGCAUUAAAUUAAGUGGGUGCUUUGGUCUAUUUUUUUUCCUGAACGAGUGCUUUGGUCUAUUCCCCAGAAGACUUUCAGAGCACAAGUACUUGAGAGUUGAGUCAAAGCUUGUUGCAGAUGUAAUCAUGUAAAGGCAAGAGGGAGAAAAAUGGCUUGAAUUGGCGGUUGUAACAUGUGGUCUAAUGUUGUACACCCCACUUCUUUUUUUGUUUGUUUGAUAGUACAAAGCGUUGUAUGUAAAAGGCAGAGGCCGUCUUCAUUGGAUGGAAAAUGAAGCCCACGUGAACUUUUUGCCGUUUAGCAAUGGGACUUGCUCCCCGGAUUUUGACAGUUAUUUAUGGGGAAGUGGCAUUACGUUUUGUAUCUAGUGAUUACUAGUGGUGGACCUUUAAUCACCACCUAUUAAAGGGGUGACGACGGCGAGCAUUUGGGGUUGCAUGGACGGCACUUGGCCCUGCA